UACGAGGGGGGCAAGCGUUGUUCGGAAUUAUUGGGCGUAAAGGGCGCGUAGGCGGUGCGGUAAGUCACCUGUGAAAACUCUGGGCUCAACUCAGAGCCUGCAGGCGAAACUGCCGUGCUUGAGUGUGGGAGAGGUGCGUGGAAUUCCCGGUGUAGAGGUGAAAUGCGCAGAUAUCGGGAAGAACACCCGUGGCGAAGGCGGCUCUCUGGGACGGUACUGACGCUGAGACGCGAAAGCGUGGGGAGCGAACAGG
rnacentral:rRNA from 1 species